AAUUUAAUGAGUGUGGAAAAAGAAAAAAGUUCUUUCUUACUAAAUAUAAACAUUUUUUGGAUCAAAAUCAACAAUGCAAAUAUCUCUUAUUAGAAAAAGAUUCUGAAAAAGAGAUUAGAACACAUGAGGAAGAACUGCUAUUAAUUA